GUUGUUUCUCCCCGUUCACAUGUGUUUCCGCUGAUUCGCAGGAGUGAUAAUGUUGCAGUCUACCAUUGCAGCCACCCUACAGCAGGCAUCACUACCUACUGGCAAGAGUUCAUCUCCUAGGGUCAAGCAAAGCCUGUGAGCAGGAGGAAGCAUGGUGAUGGCGUUCCCUGGACGGCACAGAAGUUGCCUGAGCUCAUUGAUGACAUGCCUGCAACUUGAGAAUGUUUGUAACAGUUGAGAUGGUGGCAAGGAUGAGAACAGGAUGCCGAGUUGCUUCAGUGGGGGAAAUACAGAAAAACGUGCAAGAGAAGUGGAAAGAAGUAGAAGAAAGGAAGAAGCUGUCUGGCAGAAAUGCCUUUCACGAUGUAUCACUGGAGUGCUAAAGCCUGUCACACGGAACAUGCACACAACCAUCUGAUUCCAGCAGCAGUGAACUUUUUUUUAAAGAACGAGUCCCUGUUUUAUGGCACCAGUUACCAGAUCCAGCUCUUUUCACACCGGGCCAGCCACUUGAAUCCAGACCAGCCUAAAGGACUCUCAUCCUCACACCAUGCAGAGGACUGGACUGCUGCUGGAGAACCUUUGCACCCGUAUUAACCGAGCAGG